rnacentral:rRNA from 1 species
AGUGAACGCUGGCGGUAGGCCUAACACAUGCAAGUCGAACGGCUGAAGAGAAAUUGCUCCUGGUUACGGGGGGCGAGGGGUGGAUGAUGCCUAGGAAUCUGCCUGGUAGCGUGGGAGAACGUCCGAAAAUGGGGACUAAUACCGCAUAAGUCCAGAGGGCCAAAGGGGGGGAUCUUCGGACCUCACGCUAUCAGAUGAUUCUAGGUCGGAUUAGCUAGUUGGUGGGGUAAAGGCCUACCAAGGCGACGAUCCGUAACUGGUCUGAGAGGAUGAUCAGUCACACUGGAACUGAGACACGGUCCAGACUCCUACGGGAGGCAGCAGUGGGGAAUAUUGGACAAUGGGCGAAAGCCUGAUCCAGCCAUGCCGCGUGUGUGAAGAAGGUCUUCGGAUUGUAAAGCCCUUUAAGUGGGGAAGAAGAGCAGCAAGUUAAUACCUCGCUGUUCUGACGUUACCAACAGAAUAAGCACCGGCUAACUUCGUG